rnacentral:rRNA from 1 species
AACGAACGCUGGCGGCAUGCCUAACACAUGCAAGUCGAACGAGACCUUCGGGUCUAGUUGCGCACGGGUGCGUAACGCGUGGGAACCUGCCCUUAGGUUCGGAAUAACUCCCCGAAAGGGGUGCUAAUACCGGAUAAUGUCUUCGGACCAAAGAUUUAUCGCCCUUGGAUGGGCCCGCGUUGGAUUAGCUAGUUGGUAGGGUAAAAGCCUACCAAGGCGACGAUCCAUAGCUGGUCUGAGAGGAUGAUCAGCCACACUGGGACUGAGACACGGCCCAGACUCCUACGGGAGGCAGCAGUGGGGAAUAUUGGACAAUGGGCGAAAGCCUGAUCCAGCAAUGCCGCGUGAGUGAUGAAGGCCUUAGGGUUGUAAAGCUCUUUUACCCGGGAUGAUAAUGACAGUACCGGGAGAAUAAGCUCCGGCUAACUCCGUG